GUGGGGAAUCUUCCGCAAUGGACGAAAGUCUGACGGAGCAACGCCGCGUGAGUGAUGAAGGUCUUCGGAUUGUAAAGCUCUGUUAAUCGGGACGAAAGAGCCUAGUGUGAAUAAUGCUAGGAAGUGACGGUACCGGAAUAGAAAGCCACGGCUAACUACGUGCCAGCAGCCGCGGUAAUACGUAGGUGGCAAGCGUUGUCCGGAAUUAUUGGGCGUAAAGCGCGCGCAGGCGGAUCAGCCAGUCUGUCUUAAAAGUUCGGGGCUUAACCCCGUGAUGGGAUGGAAACUACAGAUCUAGAGUAUCGGAGAGGAAAGUGGAAUUCCUAGUGUAGCGGUGAAAUGCGUAGAUAUUAGGAAGAACACCAGUGGCGAAGGCGACUUUCUGGACGAAAACUGACGCUGAGGCGCGAAAGCCAGGGGAGCGAACGGGAUUAGAAACCCUUGUAGUCC
rnacentral:rRNA from 1 species